rnacentral:lncRNA from 1 species
GGGGCUGUCCCGAAAGGUGAACGCGGGUUUGAGAAGGCGGUGUUCGCUGCCUGGUGCUAGCUAGCUUCCUUAUCUCUCCCCGUAGCGAGCUCAGCGCUGGCUGUCCUCGUUUACACCCGUACUGCAAACAAACAGAAGCCUCGCCUGCCGCGGAGCGCAGCGCGCGGCGCUGACCGCCAGAGGGCGGCGGUGCUCUGUGCGGCGGGGAGCCGCCCCGCCCCGCCCCGCCCUGCCGCCCCUCCGGCUCCGCCACGCGCGGCCUUUCGCUCUGUUAUAAAAGCUUUAAACUCAACGGACAUGCACGCAAAAGGUACAGAACGUUUCGUUGCUGUGCAGCCCCUGUUUGCAGACACGCACGCCGUGAGAGCAGGACGUGAGGUGCUUUUUACACCUCAACCAGUCUGAGUUAGACAAAGAUACCACUGUGGCUAAACCGGUUCCCGUACUUCAACCUGUACUUAUAAAGACUGUUAAGGAUGAGGUAGCACCUCGCCAGGGCAUAACCUGUGUAUCAGGAACGUAAUCAGCAGUGCAAAUGAUGGCCUGCCUUUGCUGCCUCCCAGCUGUAUGUCUGAUAGAGAAUGAGAAACCUACUGGUUUCAAGAAGGACUGGAGCUGUGCUACUUGAGAGUGGUGUUCUACUUCAUUUUCGAGCAAAAGUAAGUAAAAAUAGGAAAGUGAGUGAAAAUAAUGGAGUUAAUGGAAGUAAUUUGAAUGAGGUGACCUUUAACCAGGGAGUUCAUGGAUGGUGUUACUGUUAGCUGAGGCUGCAGCAGGAGGCUGGAUGUUGUAGGGUUAGCAGUGCCACAGUCAGUGAGCCAGGAAUUCAGGGAGUGCAAGUGGAGUAGCCAGAAGGAUAGGCAGGUUGUAAUUCCUCCCUGGGGAGAAAUUUGCUGGCAGUGUGUUCAGCAGGUUUGGAAAGAGAAAACAAAUUGCUGACUGUAGGAGGACUUCAGAGCUGAGCAGAUGUUUGGGGGUUUUGUUUUUGUUGGGUUGUUGGGGUUUUUUGUUUGUUUGCUUGUUUCUUUUCUAGGCAAAUAUAACUUACCCAUCGGGAUGUAGGUGCUCUUGCUCCCAAGGACUCCAAGGGCAGCUCAGCUGCGUUCUGUAUGCCACCUCUGUGUGCCUAAUCAAUGAUUAAUUUGUACCUCUCAGUUACCUGCCUCAGAGCUCUGCGUGUAUUUCACCACGACCAGGUAAUAUAUGGUGCAAGUACUUCAUCAUGUCCUGUGUCACUGCAUCUUGGCUUUCAGUAAACCGAAUCUUUUCCUUCAUUGGUCUUAGAGCUAGCAUUUAAUUUCUGUGUGUGGAUAAUGUGGGUAGUAAUCCUUACAGGCAGUGCAUCCUUACAGUAAACAAAGGUAAGGAAAAAUGAGUGUGAAGGCUGAAGAAUAGAGUGGGGGAAUCUCCAGUUCAUCCCAGCAAACUGGUUAUUUCUGUACUGGCAAGCAAUCCACACAUUGUUUGUCAUUUUCCCCCCCCCCCUUUCUUUCCUCCUCAGUUCAGCCCUUGCUGACAACACUGUAAAACACAUAACACACACGUAACAGGCUUAGAUAUCUACUUGCUCCUAUGCUGACAGCAAGCACUAAAGGCUCCAGUCUGCAGUGGACAGUCUGCCAUCGGCUUCAGUGAGAGCAGAAGUUGGCUUAAAAUAGGUGGAACACUAAUCUGUCUCUCUGCUCUCUAAAAAUGAACCAGCCCAAGGAAGGACUGAAACACAGGAAGCACAUAUGUAAUAUGGAGAAGCAAUUUUUGCUUUUGUUUGUAAUGCGAGUAAUCCCAUAGGGAGAGACUCUAUUCCCCCAGGCUUUUAGAUAGAGCCUUGUCAGGUAAUGCAUCCACAGUCUCUGAAGUCAUAGAUUUGGGAGGAGUGCACAGCUAAUGGCAUUCAGAACUGAAUUUCUCCCAUAACAGAAAUGCGGGGAAGCUCUUUCUCCUUUUACCAGUUAGCCUGUAUUUUACUAGUGGGGAAGUAGAAGCGGUUGGAAAAAGAUGAAAGCAAAGGCAUGAUGAAACUGCGGGAGUGAAGCAGUUUUUCCAUUUUCCUCUGGCCUCAGAGGGCACAGGGGAGGUGCGGGGGUGGCUGCUGCCGCAGCAGGCGCUCUGCGUGGGCGCAGCUGGGAGAGCCUUCCAGCAAGGUCAGUCCAUCCAUCCAUCUAUCCAUCCACAGUGGGUUCCUGCACUCCCACCACCCUGGCUUAGACGUGCUGCAUCCGCCCACCGGUACCCUCUGGGUUAGACAGGACCUUGGGCAAACACCCUCCUACGUCUUUCUUCCCUGCUGCCGCAAGCAAUCUGUCACUCCUCCCCUCAAACCACCCACCACCCACGCACAAAACCAUAACUGCAAGGAACACCCUCUCUCCUUCCCCCUUCGCUCCCCACCGGUCUGUUUUUCUCAGCAGAUGAAAAAUUCCUGGAGAUCUGGUGGUCGCCCCCGUGUUUGGCUUUUGAGACCCAAGGGGUUGGGUACCUUUUAGGCUCACAGCACGGCAAGCUCUGUUUGCAGAUGCAUUGCCAUAGUUUUGCAUUUGCUUGUAAUUACACAUGUGCAGGUGGGAAGGGGCUGUUUGCCUCCCACUGCCACGAUGUGCCUUCCUUCCUUCCACUCCCGCUCCCAGCCUCCCACGCAUCCAGCGAUGAGAAACGCUGCAGAAGACUGACCAGCCACCAGCCCGCCCACCCGAGGAGGAGGAGCAGCAGCAGCAGUACAUUUCUCUCUCUGCUUUUUAAACACAGUUAAAAAGAGCUGCAGCGUGGGUGGAAAUAGCUGUAGGGAGAGCAUGUGGGAAUGGGGCCAGGGGAAAGUGAAUUUUCUGUUGGUAGGACAGUUACUUCUAGUAGACUAGAAAAAAAAUACUUAAGGAUAACUUGCUGCCGAGUGUGUCUUUAGGCAUACAAUUAGUUCUUAGGGUUGAGUUUCCCUGGACUGGAAAGAAUGAAAUGGUAUUUAUUUUUCCCUGGUAGUCAAAGUGGCAGCCAGCGCUCCGCACUCAGAGAAGCUUGCCUAUAAGCCUCCAGGAGGCUGCAUAGCAAGGGAUAGUUGUGCUACAUCCUGUUGUGUCAUCCUGUCUCCUGUUCUGCUCCUGCUGUAUGUGCCUGAUUCGGUAAGAGUCAGAGCUGCUGCUCUGUAGGAAGAGGGGGAAAAAAAAGCAUCUGGUUUUCACAGUGUGGAGCUGUAUUUCAUAAUACCACCCCUGCUGGACCUCUUGAAAUAGCAGUAUCCCAGAAUAUCAAUUAGUUCACUAUUUACUCUAAAUCUGUGCUCUGAUAAAUAAACCUGAAUUUAUUUUCUUAUGUUAACAGGAUGUUGUUUGAGAUACUUUGCUUGCAUUACAUGAAAAUAGCAGUGCAAGUAGUGUAGGAAAACACAAAUCAUAAGACUGGUGGCAUAGAGUGCAAAGCGGUACCACUGUUUCUUAGGAAAUAUCUCUGAUAGACUCAGAGAACUGAGGGUAUGCAAUGGCUUUCAGGUUCUGACCGAGUCUAGCCCACCUAUCUAGAAAGAAAGGUUUUCCACUGUGUAAUCCUAAUCAAAUUGUCCUAACUUGGGCUACCUGUAUGUGUUCUUUGCAAUCCAGAACUCUGUCCGUGUGUUUCUCAAGAUUCAGUCAGGCUUUCCAUUUGCAUUACUGAUGCCAAUUGUUAUAUCAGGAUGUGGUCUGUAGGUAUUCGAGGAGGUGCAGUAACAGCCAACUAAUGCAUUUUGGUAAACUGGAUUUUCGAAGUACAGGAGAUGCUGCAAAAAUCUGGAAUGGGGCAUGUAAUUUGCUCCUAGUAAGUAGAGGCCUUGAGCCCCAUAUUUGAGUGGUUUCUGCUUGAUGCAGUCACUUUCUCUGUGAAAAUCCAGGGUGUGCUAGAGUGCAAAGCCUUUUCAAAGGCACCCUACCUCCUAGACAAGACAGCAGCCUUCCAGAGCCAUUUCUAAGGCAAGGGCUGCACGGCUGUAAUGCGUAAGGGAACUGGGCUCUCUGACUUCAGUGCACCCCCCCCCCCCCCGGCCCCAGCCCACCAUUUUCUGUAGCUCUGGAGAUUUUUACUCUGGCUUAGGAAUGGAAAGCGUAGGCAUAAUGCCUUCCGCUGGUGAGCUCAGAAACAAACCAAGUUAUGAUUAAGCCUAACGCAGAUCUGCGUGUGCCACAACAGAAAGAUCAGCUUUGGGAUUUAGGUUAGUGAGAUGAGAUGUGGGUCAACAGAGAUGUAACCUCAGUGGAACCAACUACCCCAAUCUUUUAAAAGCCUUAUUUCCACGAGACUUCAGUGGUUAAUAUUUUAAAUAUAUCCUUAUAUCUUUCCACUGAAUCUUAUGUAACUUGUAAUUAUAAUCUACUGGAAUUACAUACCCACAGUGAGGAGGAAAUAUAUUCCAACUAGUAAGUUCAUGUCACUUGGCUGAUUUACUUUAAAACAUUGCAUUAAUUCCUUUGUCAGUAGCAUUUGGAAGCAGUAUUGGCGUGCUUGUAAUACUAUCCUGCAUUUAGCAUUGGUUCAGUUAACUUUAAAGGUAGUGCUUUUCAUUCCUUUUGUAUCAAUGAAUGUACAUCAGAUUUUAAAUGCAGAUUAUACGCUUAUCUUGCCAGCUGCUGUUAGCCUGGAAUUUUCCUCAGGUAUCUAUUGUGGUGGAAUGAUAUUAUUUAAGAAGUUUAAAAAAAAAAAAAAAAAGUCAUUCAGAAUAAUUUCAAGUCUAUGUUAGGAGCUCAGUUGUGUACAUAGCGCUGCUUUUGGCUUUCUGCUGUACCCUGGAACUGCCAUGCACUUUGGUCUUGCAGCAUCUGGUACCAAACUUUGCCUUUUCAGGGGUCAUAGGGAACCAGUCAUUACCUAAGCAUAAGAGUAUUUGACGUUAAUUAGCAGUGUUUUGACAGUCCAGAAUGGGUACAGAGAGCACUUCAGGUGUCUGUGUUAAGAGUCGGUUGCUGCUCUAAGUCCAGGUAAGCUUCCUCAGCAGGGCAGUUUGGUUGAGAAUGACAGCAUCUUAUUAGAUAGCUAUGCGUGUAUUUAAACCUUGGCACGUUACUCACCUGGCAUAGGUAUUAAUUUUCACUUGAAAAGUUCUACUUUUGGCUUAGAAAAUGUAUUAUUAAGAAGAAAUGCUCAAACUUCUUUCCAUUUUCUUUGAUUCUGAAGCGCAGCUAAUGCUGUCCAUAAACUAAUGGCUCUGAAGAACAUUGCCCAGGGGAAGGUAUCUCACUUAAUGCCACAGAUGAUGCAAAGAACAGGGCAGAUCAGAUCAGAGAAAUUAAAAAUCAGGAGGAAAAUAGGUCAGGAGAAUAAAGAGAGGUCCUUAAGCUAUUUAAAAGUAAGCAUUUAUCAUUCGUUACUGCAGAUAUAUUCUGCUCUGAAGCGUAAAUUACCAGGCUCCAUUACGGUGUAACUGUGGGCAAAUGCUACCUUCAGUGCAACUGAGUUUAGCAGAUUCCUGUAAGUAGGUGUAAUUAUUAACCUCAUUGAAGGAGUAUGUAGCUAGUCAGAAGGGAAUGUGUUUGUUCGUUUGUUUCAAAUAAACGUUGUCAUUCUGGGUCAUCAGCUUCUUGCAGUGGAAGUGAUAGCGGGAGUGCUUGGCUCUCGCAGCCCCCUGCACUGAGUGCUCUUCUCCAGGGGAGUGCAGCUUGGUGAAGAAAGCAGUGGCAGCCCUGGCAGGGCACAGCAUGGAUCUGAAUUGUUCACAAGCUGUUAUGCAGUCAUUAGUUUCUCUUAGUCAUCUCAGUCUUCUUUCUGCCCCUUGGUUUUCACGAUGCCACGGCUUCUGUCUAGACCUUCCUUCUCUCUUCACUUGCUCCGUCUGUGACAGCAGCCAGCCUGGAAUGGAGUUUCAUGCUGCUCAGAGCAGUAGGUAGGAAUCUAUAAUUAUUUCAGAAAUAACAUGUUACACAGUGUGAUUUAGUCAUACUUUGACACACCUCUGUCUGCCAAGAAAUAGGCAGGCACUACCUUAUAAAGCUGUUGCUGAGAGCAAUCCUUCAGGCUCAGGGAGCACAAAGCUGCUUCAUUGUAUGGAUAGCUGCAGGAGUCAGCAGCAGGGUUUGGGGCUGGGGCCUGCAGAGACCUUAAAGCACGCAAAUCUGUUGCCUGAAUUAGAGGUUGUGCUCCUGCCUAGGGGAUGUAUCCCCAUGCAGAAAUAGCUCAGGACAUAAGCUGGUAAAUUUAAGACUGUUUGGAAAGUGAUUUUAUUUCCAUUUCCAGCCUUUAAAAAGCAUCCUUGUCGCUCUUGUGAGCCUUUUGGAACAUUCACCAUCAACCAGUUCUUUCCUAGUAUGAGACAGCUGCAUUUUGAAGGUAAGACUGUCUACAGUCUUAAUUACAAUAGCAACAUACAAUUUUCAGGGUACAAACGGCUGUAUAAACACGUCCCUACUCAGCCACACUAUCCCUUCCUCAGGCAUAUUUCUCAUCUGAGAAUCUCCUAUACUUAUUUAUUCCUCUUAUCAUACAGAAGACUAAAAAGCCCGGUGUCCUUUAAGGUCCCCCAGUAUGCAGUGUCAGGAGGUCUGUGGCGUAUUUGCACAGGCAGUCAGCUUUAUUUCACAGUAACACAUUUAAUUUUGUUAGUUACUUAGUUACUUGUAAUAGGCAGUCAUAACACUCGUAGGUAGCAUCGUGACUCACUGUAAAAUGACUGCAACAAAGCGCUGUCAUUUUGUCGCUGCAUUAUAGCAGACAGAACCAGAUCUCUCAGGAGUGUGCUGAGUUAUUUCUCGAAGGCCAAGGGACACGUCCUCCCUGGGAGAGGUCACCUUGUCCUCAGUGCCUGGAAGCUUUUUGUCAAAGAUUCUGGUUACCUGGUGCUGUGUAACCUUCCCCGUUCUGUUUGCAGAUCGGCAGUAUAAUUCUUCACCCCUAUUGCAAAUACAGGAUGGGAGAGGUGUCUCAUGGGAAAAAUAAUAAGAAAUACAAAAUCAUAGCUCUGCCAUGUUUUGAAAGUGCUUUAGGUUGGUGAGUGGAUAAAUGAAAGCUCAACUCUGUGGAGAUGUAAGUGUAAUUUAAUCCACUUUCAGUCUCUGUCCUUGAGUUAGUGUUCAGCCUUCUGAGAGCCGUUUCUUCCUUUUGAGCCCUUUGUGUAUGAGCCGUGUGUGUUUGUUCAGCCACUGCUGUUGCAUGACCACCUCCACCCAGCCCUGAGUCCAAAGGUUCACCAGUUUCCUUUAGCUCAUAAAUCUGAAGGUGGGUGAGAUAAGGCAGGCUCUGCAAACUGCGCUCUGUUUUAAUGAUAUGGUUAUUGCUUAAGAUCCAGUGCUCUGCAAGUCAAAGAUACAAAAUGCAUUGCAAUUUAAAGUUCAAUUAUUCUGUUAUUACUGUUUGAAACUGUAGUUGGCACUCGUAUUAUUAAUUUAGAAAGUAAGGGAUGUAAGAGGUAGGCAGGCAGUCAUUAUAUCAUGUACGUUUAUGUCCACACACAUUCUCACUUUCACCAAAGGAAAUUAGGGCUACCGAAGGCACAAGUAACUUUGGACUGAUGCUCUCCUGCCUUAGAUAGAGCUGAUGCACAGAAGGGGAAGCCAGAAUGAGCCAGCAGCAGCCGUCUUCUUCCAUCGCUCUGCAUUAGUGGACCUACACUUGUAAGAAACACUGCUGUUGUAAGUCAGAAUGGCUUCAGAAACAUGCCUUCCUAACACAGUGCCUCUAUAAACUCUUGUUUAAGGCAAAGCACAAGAGUUAGUAGCAUUUCUCACAUUUUGGUGUAAUGAAUUCAGUCCAUGAAACCAUGGAAUGACAAAGGCAAUCUGCAAAAACAGGCAGCGUUUACCUGAAAUAUUUAAUUUUAAGAAUACACCAUGAUUCAAAAAACUGAAGGGAGUAUAAACUGGGGCACAAAAUGUUCAAGAACUAUUAAAUCACUGUCAUUCUAAUCUCUUUUAAUUGUUCACCAGAUAAUAGCUGUUGGAAACAGAAAGACAAAAACCAAGCAUGCUGAGUCAGAUGCGGGUCACUGUCUCCUGAAAUGCAGCUGUCAGGAGCUGGGUAAGAGCAGAGUAAUGUGUCUUCUGCUUUCAACUUGGCAUCAGUGAAGUUGAUAUGCUGUUUAGCAGCCUCCUGAUGAUUUCCCUUCCGUGCUCUUGUCCAGCCUGUCCCAGACCAUUUAGGAACUCCUAGCAGCAGUAAGCAGUCCCACAGCUCUAAUGCCUGUAGGAAGAAUGUGCCUGCUGUUUUUUUUUCUGAAGACAUGCCUCCUACUAGCUUCAUUUAAUGUUUCCUAAUCCAUGAAUGGGAAGAAAGAUAAACUGCUUUCUCCAACUCGUGGCUUUAUAAACCUGCCAUUUCCCUGCUAUGCUGUGCUGUUCUGUCUGGCAACUGCUCUUCCGGGCAGAGGAGUCAUUCCAGACACUUGAGCAUCCUUCUCUAAUUCUUUAUAUGCUUUUGGAAAUGAGGAGUCUAUACUAUUGGUCCUUUUUCUCCUAGAAUCCACAUGGGUUCCAUGUCUUGAUCUCUCUAUGUAGGAAAAGAAAUAUCUAUACACUAUGCUAAAAUAGAAUUUCAUCUUACUUUGAAGUUCUUACUUUUGCAUUUUUUUUAAUUCUUCCUAAGUUCCUUGUCACCAUUUUUGGGCCUUCUGGUACUGAACAGUUAACAGCACACUGCAGCAACAUAACAAAUCUGUAGGGAGGUAGUUUGUAUAUUCCCAAAGUGGCUGCAAUUGUCCCACUGUGCAGGCAGCAAACCUGUUCUCAACUGUUAAUAGAAGUGGGGAAGAAAAGGGAGAAAGGGUUUAGUCGGUGAUUGUAACAGGCAUAGCUACUUAAAAUUCACACCUCGUGCUGAUUUAGGAAGUUGUAAGAUGCGGUAUGAGGGGAAAAAAAGGUGAGACGUUAAGACUGUUACAUAGAUAGUGUUUUUCAGCUUUUGUCACCCCCCCUGUAUUUUCUUCCCCCACCAAACCAUUUUGGAGGCAUAUCUUUGCAAUGACACAUCAAUGUUCUGUCUGCUUUGGGUUUAGAAAUAGUUGGGAUGUUAUAAAUAGAUCACAGUCUGAGAGAGACAAAGAGAAUGGAAGUAUUGUAAGAGGUUGGCUGAAAAUUUUCGGUGUGGAUUGUGAUUUCAGAUGCCUCUGAGAGUGGAAGCGUUGAGUCUGAAAUGCUCUAUUGAGCGCAGCAGAGGAACCUGGCCUGAUGUGCAGCAGUGGGGAGAGGCCAGGUGCAGUAAGGCAGCAUUUCUGCCUGUGGAGCUGAGCCCAGAGUGACAGCCAGCCUUGCCUCUGGGAGCUCACGGCUCAGAGAUGUGAGGAGGAAGCACUUUGCCCUUCCUCACUGUAGGAGGAAACGCUGGAGUCAAUUGCUCUGUUACACACAGCAGAGUCACUAAAUCAGAAUGUACAGCUUUUGCCCUGUAACUGUUCUGGCACCACUCAUGCUGGUAGCGUUGAUCAAGCUUGCUCCCGUUUUCCACUUCUCCCCCAGAAGGCCUUAACAUCACCAGGGCACCUUGGCCCGGGGUGAAAACUUGUCCCAUCCAGUGAGGUAGUAAAAAAGAAUAAUCAAGAGUGGGAAACAGUCUGAUAUUCUUUUGUUUCUGCUUGAGUACUCCUUGAGGAAGAUCCUUUAGAUCCUGCUGAUACUUCCAAGCUGACCGUGAGUACACAGAGCUGAGGUCCAGCUGCUUAUCCCUUGGCCGUUUCCACCAGAGAAACUAUGAGAAAGGUGAUUUGGUGACAGUUCUAAAGUAAGUCAUUCAGUGGAAGGGACUAACCUUCCCAGUGGCACCUUAAUGUUGUAAAGACAAGUUGCUUCCUGAAAGCAGGCUGGGUUUCACAGGAGCAGUGUCAUGUUGGCACAAGCUUUGUGUUCUCAGCCUCUGCCAAACGCAAUGGUGUAUCACCUGGUCUGUGUCCUUGAAGUGUGCCUCCAACUGCUGCUGGUUUUUGUAGAAGUUUAGGCCGAUACACAGUCUGCAGAAUCAGGUUCUUUAAACCUAAAUUAACAUUCUGUUGAAGACUAAACAUAUGUUGUUUUUCUUCACUGUCAACAAUUUAGUUUCCAGGUUUGGAAAAGAAACAUUGCUGGGGAGGAAUCCAAUGAAUUUAUUAAUGAGCUGGUGAAAAGCUGCUGAAGGACAGCUGGAUAUUUGGUGCCAACUGGAAAUUCCUGAUUUCAGAGAACAGCCCUGGUUCAGGAAAGAAACCAGCCAAGAAGCUCUACUAUAAAUUAAAAUGUGAGCUCCUAGAAACCAUUUCCUGAUGGGACUCAGGUACUUUACCUUUGCCAUUCCUGUAAAACAUCAGCUGCAUACAUCAGACUGAUGGCGUCAGGUGGUUUUCCAUAAAAAUCCUGUCUGUGCUGUGCUUCAUUUGCUUUAUUUUUGCUCUAACCCAAGAAACAAGUCAGCAGCUUCAAGAGUCAGCUGACACUGAGUCCUUUCCCAGCAAAGCCUACUGUUAACCAUGUGCAGCUCCAGCCAUAUUUGUAGGUAAU